rnacentral:rRNA from 1 species
UACGUAGGGUGCGAGCGUUUAAUCGGAAUUACUGGGCGUAAAGCGCGCGUAGGCGGUGAUCUUUGUCAGAGGUGAAAGCCUGGGGCUCAACUCCAGAAUUGCCUUUGAAACGGGAUUGCUUGAGUCCGAGAGAGGAUGGCGGAAUUCCUAGUGUAGAGGUGAAAUUCGUAGAUAUUGGGAAGAACACCGGUGGCGAAGGCGGCUCACUGGCCCGUUACUGACGCUCAGGCGCGACAGCGUGGGGAUCAAACAGG